AUAAAUAAAAUGUGCAGAAUCCAGUUCUAAUUUAUUCUUAAAAGUAUGGUGUAGUGAAGGGUCUGAAAAUGGAUGCCAAUGUGCCCUUGUAUAGACCCUUUUCAUUGGCUA